rnacentral:rRNA from 1 species
AACGAACGCUGGCGGCAUGCCUAACACACGCAAGUCGAACGAAGCCUUCGGGCUUAGUGGCGCACGGGUGCGUAACGCGUGGGAAUCUGCCCUUGGGUUCGGAAUAACAGUUAGAAAUGACUGCUAAUACCGAAUGAUGUCUUCGGACCAAAGAUUUAUCGCCCAAGGAUGAGCCCGCGUCGGAUUAGCUAGUUGGUGAGGUAAAGGCUCACCAAGGCGACGAUCCGUGGCUGGUCUGAGAGGAUGAUCAGCCACACUGGGACUGAGACACGGCCCAGACUCCUACGGGAGGCAGCGGUGGGGAAUAUUGGACAAUGGGCGAAAGCCUGAUCCAGCAAUGCCGCGUGAGUGAUGAAGGCCUAGGGUUGUAAAGCUCUUUACCCGGGAUGAUAAUGACAGUACCGGGAGGAAUAAGACCCCGGCCUAACUCCGUGCCAGCAGCCGCGGU